AUUGAACGCUGGCGGCAUGCCUUACACAUGCAAGUCGAACGGCAGCAUGGAGAGCUUGCUCUCUGAUGGCGAGUGGCGAACGGGUGAGUAAUGCAUCGGAACGUACCGUGUAAUGGGGGAUAACGUAGCGAAAGUUACGCUAAUACCGCAUACGACCUGAGGGUGAAAGCAGGGGAUCGCAAGACCUUGCGUUAUACGAGCGGCCGAUGUCAGAUUAGCUAGUUGGUGAGGUAAAGGCUCACCAAGGCGACGAUCUGUAGCGGGUCUGAGAGGGUGAUCCACCACACUGGGACUGGGAAACGGCCCAGACUCCUACGGGAGGCAGCAGUGGGGAAUUUUGGACAAUGGGGGCAACCCUGAUCCAGCCAUGCCGCGUGAGUGAAGAAGGCCUUCGGGUUGUAAAGCUCUUUCGGCCGGGAAGAAAUCGCACAGGCUAAUACUCUGUGUGGAUGACGGUACCGGCAUAAGAAGCACCGGCUAACUACAUGCCAGCCGCCGCCGUAA
rnacentral:rRNA from 1 species